UGCCAUGCACAUAAGAUGUGACUUGCUCCUCCUUACCUUUUACCUUCCACCAUGGUUGUGAAGCCUCUCCAGCCACGAGUAACUCCUAGUCAACACGAAGACAAGGAUGAAGGCCUUUAUGCUGAUUCACUUCCACUGAAUGAAAAGUUCAUCUUCUUAGAGAAUAAAUAAGAAAAACGUAUGGAAUGAUAUUGUGGUUAAUACAAUGUAAGAGAUCACACGACAGACUCCAAAGAAGGCAUAGACUGAUAAUAUAAACAAUAAGUGCUGGAAGAGUUGAAGAGGUAGCUGUAUCCCUUGGAGGAGGUGUUCAGAUGAUACGUCAAGUAGAAACUUGGACCUUGAAAGAUGAAUGUAAAGAGGAGUGGGAAAUACAUUGAUAGUGGGGAAAAAACUGGUGAAAACAAAAUCAAAAACAGAAAUGUGUACACUAUGCACAGCAGAGACUGCUCCAUGCUUCUGACUCUCUAGAGAAAGUAUCCACAUGGGAACAUCACGAAAUAUAAACUUGGAAAGGUCAUUUGUGGCAUCUGUGGAAUUACUGGAUAUUUUUUAAUGCUAGAGUCUAGGUCCAGUGUCUGUCCCAUAAAUGCUGGAAACAACUCAUUAUUUGAACAGUUAAGUGGUAAGAUUAAAAAGCUGUAACAGCAAGGUGCACUGGUAGUUUAAUGUAAGACGUAUUGAGGAGAGGAAGUCUAGAGGGAGAAAGGCUAAACUUGUUGAAAUACCAUAACCAAGGUGGAAGUAGUUGGCAUAAAAGAGAAGGUUAUAUGUGGCAUGUAUUAUGAAAUAUGAUGAGAUAUUAAGAGUGAACAUGGAUUGUAGAUAGAGAUUAAUGGUAAGGGAAAGGAUUAAACAAAAAAAAUACAUGACAACUAGGUAGACUAUAAGAAAACAGAAGGUGAGAAAUCAGGUAGAAGAAAUGAUUUGUGUAGAUCAAAUGAUAAAUUACAGAUACUAAAUUAUUAUUGGCAAUGAAAUCUCCAAGUGGCCAUUUGUUGUAAAAGAAGUUCAUAUAAGAUGGGACUUUGAGGGUGAAGUCAGCGGUGGAGAUCAUUGAGUUUAUUGAGACUAACUUUGUGACUUAUGCACUGGUCAGAUUUUGUGAAAGUCCCAUAUGUCUUGAAAACUAAUCAGUGCUAUAUAAAGGUAAAGUGAAUUUUUCUUUAUGUUUAUUUUAAAUCAAGAGUAUUAAUUAUGUCGUCCAAUACUUCUAUAUUUUCACUAGUUUUGUUGUUGCUUGACUUGUCAAGCUUCUGAGAGAGAAAUAUUAAAAUCUUUUUUGGAAGGGAUAAAGAUU
rnacentral:lncRNA from 10 species